AUACGUAGGUGACAAGCGUUAUCCGGAUUUACUGGGCGUAAAGGGCGUGUAGGCGGUCUUGCAAGUCAGAUGUGAAAUCUGGAGGCUCAACCUCCAAACUGCAUUUGAAACUGCUUUUCUUGAGUAUCGGAGAGGUAAUCGGAAUUCCUUGUGUAGCGGUGAAAUGCGUAGAUAUAAGGAAGAACACCAGUGGCGAAGGCGGAUUACUGGACGACAACUGACGGUGAGGCGCGAAAGCGUGGGGAGCAAACAGGAUUAGAUACCCUGGUAGUCCACGCUGUAAACGAUCAAUACUAGGUGUGCGGGGACUGACCCCCUGCGUGCCGCAGUUAACACAAUAAGUAUUGCACCUGGGGAGUACGAUCGCAAGGUUGAAACUCAAAUGAAUUGGCGGGG
rnacentral:rRNA from 1 species